GAUGAACGCUGGCGGCGUGCCUAACACAUGCAAGUCGAACGAACCUUGGAGAUCAGAUUUCUUCGGAAUGAAGAUUUCGCUGGUUAGUGGCGGACGGGUGAGUAACGCGUGGGUAACCUGCCGUAUGCUGGGGGAUAACAGUUAGAAAUGACUGCUAAUACCGCAUAAGCGCACAGUAUCGCAUGAUACAGUGUGAAAAACUCCGGUGGCAUACGAUGGACCCGCGUCUGAUUAGCUAGUUGGCGGGGUAACGGCCCACCAAGGCGACGAUCAGUAGCCGGCCUGAGAGGGUGAACGGCCACAUUGGAACUGAGACACGGUCCAAACUCCUACGGGAGGCAGCAGUGGGGGAUAUUGCACAAUGGGGGAAACCCUGAUGCAGCGACGCCGCGUGAGUGAAGAAGUAUUUCGGUAUGUAAAGCUCUAUCAGCAGGAAAGAUAAUGACGGUACCUGACUAAGAAGCACCGGCUAAAUACGUGCCAGCAGCCGCGGUAAUACGUAUGGUGCAAGCGUUAUCCGGAUUUACUGGGUGUAAAGGGAGCGCAGACGGCAUGGCAAGCCAGAUGUGAAAGGUGGGGGCUCAACCCCCAAGCUGCAUUUGGAACUGUCAAGCUAGAGUAUCGGAGAGGUAAGUGGAAUUCCUAGUGUAGCGGUGAAAUGCGUAGAUAUUAGGAGGAACACCAGUGGCGAAGGCGGCUUACUGGACGAUAACUGACGUUGAGGCUC
rnacentral:rRNA from 1 species